GAUGAACGCUGGCGGCGUGCCUAAUACAUGCAAGUCGAGCGAACGGACGAGAAGCUUGCUUCUCUGAUGUUAGCGGCGGACGGGUGAGUAACACGUGGAUAACCUACCUAUAAGACUGGGAUAACUUCGGGAAACCGGAGCUAAUACCGGAUAAUAUUUUGAACCGCAUGGUUCAAAAGUGAAAGACGGUCUUGCUGUCACUUAUAGAUGGAUCCGCGCUGCAUUAGCUAGUUGGUAAGGUAACGGCUUACCAAGGCAACGAUGCAUAGCCGACCUGAGAGGGUGAUCGGCCACACGGGAACUGAGACACGGUCCAGACUCCUACGGGAGGCAGCAGUAGGGAAUCUUCCGCAAUGGGCGAAAGCCUGACGGAGCAACGCCGAGUGAGUGAUGAAGGUCUUCGGAUCGUAAAACUCUGUUAUUAGGGAAGAACAUAUGUGUAAGUAACUGUGCACAUCUUGACGGUACCUAAUCAGAAAGCCACGGCUAACUACGUG
rnacentral:rRNA from 1 species